rnacentral:ncRNA from 1 species
UAAAACAAGUUCGGAGAGGUCCGAAAGUCACUGUCCCUAUCUACUAUCUAGCGAAACCACAGCCAAGGGAACGGGCUUGGAAUAAUUAGCGGGGAAAGAAGACCCUUUUGAGCUUGACUCUAAUCUGGCAGUGUAAGGAGACAUAAGAGGUGUAGAAUAAGUGGGAGAUAUUAGACCUCGGUUUGGUAUCGUCAAUGAAAUACCACUACUCUUAUUGUUUCCUUACUUACUUGAUUAAAUGGAACGUGUAUCAUUUCCUAGCCAUUAUACGGAUAUAUUUAUUAUAUCUUAUGGUAUUGGGUUUUGAUGCAAGCUUCUUGAUCAAAGUAUCACGAGUUUGCUAUAUAAUCGCAAACAAAUUCUUUAAUAAAACGAUGCAUUUAUGUAUUUUUGAUUUGAAAAUUUGGUAUAACUCCAAUUAAUCAGGUAUGAUCCAAUUCAAGGACAUUGCCAGGUAGGGAGUUUGACUGGGGCGGUACAUCUCUCAAAUAAUAACGGAGGUGUCCCAAGGCCAGCUCAGUGCGGACAGAAACCACACAUAGAGCAAAAGGGCAAAUGCUGACUUGAUCUCGGUGUUCAGUACACACAGGGACAGCAAAAGCUCGGCCUAUCGAUCCUUUUGGUUUAAAGAGUUUUUAACAAGAGGUGUCAGAAAAGUUACCAUAGGGAUAACUGGCUUGUGGCGGCCAAGCGUUCAUAGCGACGUCGCUUUUUGAUCCUUCGAUGUCGGCUCUUCCUAUCAUUGUGAAGCAAAAUUCACCAAGCGUUGGAUUGUUCACCCAUGCAAGGGAACGUGAGCUGGGUUUAGACCGUCGUGAGACAGGUUAGUUUUACCCUACUAAUGACAAAACGUUGUUGCGACAGCAUUCCUGCGUAGUACGAGAGGAACCGCAGGUACGGACCAAUGGCACAAUACUUGUUCGAGCGAACAGUGGUAUGACGCUACGUCCGUUGGAUUAUGCCUGAACGCCUCUAAGGUCGUAUCCGUGCUGGACUGCAAUGAUAAAUAAGGGGCAAUUUGCAUUGUAUGGCUUCUAAACCAUUUAAAGUUUAUAAUUUAUUUUAUAAACGACAAUGGAUGUGAUGCCAAUGUAAUUUGUAACAUAGUAAAUUAGGCACGCGCAUCUUCGAUCACCUGAUGC